AAUGUUGGGAAUUGUCCCAAAUUCCUAAUUAGUAAAUAUUCCUUUUUGUAAAGAAUAUUGUAUAGAAUAUUUCUAGGUUGAUAUAUUAUUGUAAUAUUAGACUUCCUUAUAGAAUAAGGAAGGUUGUUAGAAAUAUCUCUAUAAAUAUUCUAGGUCAUGAGGGGAAAAAGUUAUGAGAUGGAGAUGGGCCUAUAGAGACUAUACAAGGUGGAUAGAGAUGUGAGGAAGAACGGGAGGUACCUGGUGGAGCGAGAGGGCUCGUAGUAAGGUAUGGAUACAAGGAGUGGGGAAACAUGGGAUGUUUCGGGAACCCAAUAGUUGUAUCUGGUUCUAUCCUCUGUAAUAUUCUCUAUUGUAUAGUGAAAUUAUUCUCUCUCAUCCGUGGACGUAGGCAUGGUUGGCCGAACCACGUUAAAACCUCGUGUACCGUAUGUGUGAUUGUUUUAUCUUUGUGUUCUUGAACUAACAUUAUUGGCAUCAAAGCUUUCGCUGGCACUACAACUAGUAUCAGAGCCUAGGGUUAGGUUUGAGUGGGAGCAAUGGCAGAGGAAGCAGGAAAGGCGUCUGGAAUAGAAAAGUUUGAUGGCACAGACUUUGCGUAUUGGAGGAUGCAGAUUGAAGAUUAUCUCUAUGGGAGGAAAUUACAUCUGCCUCUUUUGGGGACAAAACCUAAGAGUAUGAAGGCUGAGGAAUGGGCGCUUCUUGAUAGACAGGUUCUAGGAGUUAUUAGGUUAACUCUGUCUAGGUCUGUUGCACACAAUGUUGUAAAAGAGAAGACCACAGCAGAUCUGAUGAAGGCUUUGUUCGGUAUGUAUGAAAAGCCGUCCGCAAACAAUAAGGUGCAUCUGAUGAAGAAAUUGUUCAAUUUGAAGAUGGCAGAGAAUGCAUCGGUAGCACAACAUCUGAAUGAAUUUAAUACAAUCACAAAUCAAUUGUCGUCUGUAGAAAUUGAUUUUGAUGAUGAGAUUCGUGCUCUGAUCGUCUUGGCUUCUUUGCCAAACAGUUGGGAGGCAAUGAGGAUGGCAGUAAGCAAUUCUACGGGAAAGGAAAAGCUCAAGUACAAUGAUAUACGAGAUUUAAUUCUGGCUGAGGAGAUUCGCCGAAGAGAUGUAGGUGAAACCUCAGGAUCUGGUUCUGCCCUAAACCUUGAAACAAGAGGCAGAGGUAAUAACAGAAAUUCAAAUCAGGGUAGAUCAAAUUCCAGAAAUUCUAAUCGGAACAGAAGCAAAUCUAGAUCAGGCCAACAAGUACAAUGCUGGAAUUGUGGGAAAACAUGUCACUUUAAAAGGCAAUGCAAAAGCCCUAAGAAGAAGAAUGAAGAUGAUUCUGCUAAUGCUGUAACAGAAGAGGUACAAGAUGCAUUACUUCUUGCAGUAGAUAGUCCACUUGAUGAUUGGGUUUUGGAUUCAGGAGCUUCGUUUCAUACCACUCCACAUCGAGAAAUCAUACAGAAUUAUGUUGCAGGUGAUUUUGGUAAGGUGUAUUUGGCUGAUGGUUCAGCCUUGGAUGUUGUGGGUCUGGGAGACGUCCGGAUAUCAUUGCCCAAUGGGUCUGUUUGGUUACUGGAGAAGGUUCGACAUAUUCCUGACCUGAGGAGGAAUCUGAUUUCUGUUGGACAACUUGAUGAUGAAGGACAUGCAAUACUAUUUGUUGGUGGUACUUGGAAGGUUACAAAGGGAGCUAGGGUAUUGGCUCGUGGAAAGAAGACUGGCACUCUAUAUAUGACCUCAUGUCCAAGAGACACAAUUGCAGUUGCUGAUGCAAGUACUGAUACAAGCCUAUGGCACCGCAGACUUGGUCACAUGAGUGAGAAAGGGAUGAAAAUGUUGCUGUCAAAAGGAAAACUACCAGAAUUGAAGUCCAUUGAUUUUGACAUGUGUGAAAGUUGCAUCUUAGGAAAGCAAAAAAAGGUGAGCUUCUUGAAAACUGGCAGGACACCGAAGGCUGAAAAAUUGGAACUAGUACACACUGAUUUGUGGGGGACUUCUCCGGUUGCAUCCCUAGGAGGUUCAAGGUACUACAUCACCUUUAUUGAUGACUCAAGUAGAAAGGUAUGGGUUUAUUUUCUGAAAAAUAAAUCUAAUGUAUUUGUAACUUUUAAGAAGUGGAAGGCCAUGGUUGAGACAGAAACAGGUUUGAAAGUAAAAUGUUUGAGGUCAGAUAAUGGAGGAGAGUACAUAGAUGGAGGAUUUAGUGAGUAUUAUGCUGCACAGGGAAUUAGGAUGGAGAAGACCAUUCCUAGGACACCACAGCAGAAUGGUGUGGCUGAAUGCAUGAACAAAACUCUCAAUGAGCGUGCUAGAAGUAUGAGGUUGCAUGCUGGACUACCAAAAACUUUUUGGGCUGAUGCUGUUAGCACUGCAGCUUACCUGAUAAACCGAGGACCAUCAGUUCCCAUGGAGUUCAGACUUCCUGAGGAGGUUUGGAGCGGUAAAGAGGUGAAGUUUUCACAUUUAAAAGUUUUUGGUUGUAUUUCUUAUGUUCAUAUUGAUUCUGAUGCUCGUAGUAAACUUGAUGCAAAGUCAAAAAUAUGUUUUUUCAUUGGCUAUAGUGAUGAGAAAUUUGACUAUAGGUUUUGGGAUGAACAAAACAGGAAAAUCAUCAGAAGUAGAAAUGUGAUAUUUAAUGAACAGGUUAUGUACAAGGACAGGUCAUCUGUAGUAUCAGAUGUUACAGAGAUAGAUCAAAAGAAAUCUAAGUUUGUCAACUUAGAUGAAUUGACUGAAAGUACUGUCCAAAAAGGAGGUGAAGAAGAUAAGGAGAAUGUAAAUUCACAGGUAGAUCUGAGUACACCUGUAGUUGAAGUUCGCAGAUCUUCUAGGAAUAUUAGACCUUCGCAGCGUUAUUCACCUGUUUUAAAUUAUCUCCUGUUGACUGAUGGUGGUGAGCCAGAGUGUUAUGAUGAAGCCUUGCAAGAUGAGAAUUCAAGCAAGUGGGAGUUAGCCAUGAAGGAUGAGAUGGAUUCCCUGUUGGGGAAUCAGACAUGGGAACUGACUGAAUUGCCAGUAGGAAAGAAGGCUUUGCACAACAAGUGGGUAUACAGAAUAAAGAAUGAGCAUGAUGGUAGCAAACGUUACAAGGCCAGAUUAGUUGUUAAAGGGUUCCAGCAGAAGGAGGGCAUUGACUACACAGAGAUAUUUUCUCCAGUUGUGAAGAUGUCAACAAUUAGACUUGUACUUGGAAUGGUGGCUGUAGAAAACUUACAUCUUGAGCAGUUAGAUGUGAAGACAGCAUUCCUUCAUGGUGACUUGGAGGAAGACCUUUACAUGAUUCAGCCAGAAGGGUUCAUUGUUCAGGGACAAGAGAAUCUAGUCUGCAAACUGAGAAAGAGCUUGUAUGGCCUUAAACAAGCUCCUAGACAGUGGUACAAGAAGUUUGACAAUUUUAUGCAUAGAAUUAGGUUCAAGAGAUGUGAAGCUGAUCAUUGUUGCUAUGUUAAGUCCUUUGACAAUUCUUACAUCAUAUUACUGUUGUAUGUGGAUGAUAUGCUUAUUGCAGGGUCUGACAUUGAGAAGAUUAAUAAUUUGAAGAAGCAAUUGUCCAAACAGUUUGCAAUGAAGGAUUUGGGAGCUGCAAAGCAAAUCCUUGGUAUGAGAAUCAUUAGAGACAAGGCUAAUGGUACAUUGAAACUUUCACAGUCAGAGUAUGUGAAGAAAGUUCUCAGCAGGUUCAACAUGAAUGAAGCUAAACCAGUGAGCACACCCUUGGGUAGUCAUUUCAAACUAAGCAAAGAACAGUCACCGAAGACAGAAGAAGAAAGGGACCAUAUGAGCAAGGUGCCCUAUGCCUCAGCUAUUGGCAGCUUGAUGUAUGCUAUGGUGUGUACAAGGCCAGACAUUGCACAUGCAGUGGGAGUUGUGAGCAGAUUCAUGAGUAGGCCUGGAAAGCAGCAUUGGGAGGCAGUCAAGUGGAUUUUAAGAUAUCUGAAGGGUUCAUUAGAUACAUGUCUUUGCUUCACAGGUGCAAGUUUGAAACUGCAGGGUUAUGUAGAUGCUGAUUUUGUUGGUGAUAUUGAUAGUAGAAAGAGUACUACUGGGUUUGUUUUUACUCUAGGUGGUACAGCUAUAUCAUGGACUUCAAAUCUACAGAAGAUUGUUACUUUGUCUACUACAGAAGCUGAGUAUGUUGCAGCAACUGAAGCUGGAAAGGAGAUGAUUUGGCUACAUGGUUUCUUAGAUGAAUUGGGUAAAAAGCAGGAGAUGGGCAUUCUACACAGUGACAGUCAGAGUGCAAUUUUUCUUGCCAAAAAUUCAGCUUUUCAUUCAAAGUCGAAGCAUAUACAAACAAAAUACCACUUUAUCCGUUAUCUUGUUGAAGAUAAACUGGUAAUACUUGAGAAGAUUUGUGGAUCUAAGAACCCGGCAGACAUGUUGACUAAGGGUGUCACUAUUGAGAAGUUGAAGCUGUGCGCAGCUUCAAUUGGUCUUCUAGCUUGAGGACAAGAGGAUGAGUUGUAGGGAUGAGGGAUUGUUUCUUGGAGGAUAGCGGUUUUAAUGUUGGUGAUUAGACUAGUCUCCAAGUGGGAGAUUUGUUGGGCUUUGUGGAGCCUAGUUUUGUUUGAUCCGAUUUGACGACCCGACCCGAAUAAUAUUACAUGGCUUUUUAAUGGGAGAUUUAUUGAGGCCUGUUGGGCUCGUUUAGCCCAUUGUGGAACCACCUUUUGUAAUUAGGGUUUUUUAGUAUGGUAGGGUUGCCGUGCUAUAUAUAUAUAGAGAAUAUUGUAGCCGCCAUGUUGUACUCUGAAUUCUUCCCUGAUAAUAGUGAUAUCCCUACAACUCCGUGGAUGUAGGCAAAUUGCCGAACCACGUAAAUAUUGUCUUGUGCGUGUGAUUGUUUUUCUUUGGCUUGUGUUUUCUCUAAUUUUUUUUGUUUCUCACGGGUUGGGAAUUCAGUUUAAUUCCCUACAACUGGUAUCAGAGCUUGGAUUGAAGAUUUCUGGAAGAGUAAAAGAUCACAAAGCACACAAGAUGAAAACAAAAGGAAUUUUCACUGAAGGUGGAGUCAAUUGCUCUUUCGUGGUGAUAUGAUACAAAAAGGUUUGUGUCAUGGAGAGAUUGAAGAUUAACUUCAUGUAAUUUGGUCCAAGGUGGAGAUUGUUGGGAAUUGUCCCAAAUUCCUAAUUAGUAAAUAUUCCUUUUUGUAAAGAAUAUUGUAUAGAAUAUUUCUAGGUUGAUAUAUUAUUGUAAUAUUAGACUUCCUUAUAGAAUAAGGAAGGUUGUUAGAAAUAUCUCUAUAAAUAUUCUAGGUCAUGAGGGGAAAAAGUUAUGAGAUGGAGAUGGGCCUAUAGAGACUAUACGAGGUGGAUAGAGAUGUGAGGAAGAACGGGAGGUACCUGGUGGAGCG
rnacentral:lncRNA from 1 species